AAAUUCUCAACGGUGGAUGUCUUGGUUCCCACAACGAUGAAGAACGCAGCGAAGUGCGAUAAGCAGUGCGAAUUGCAGAACCGUGAGUCAUCAGAUUUUUGAACGCAACUGGCGCCGUGCGGGGUCACCCGCCGGCACGCCUGGUCCAGUG
rnacentral:rRNA from 1 species